GUGAGGCCCAGGCUCCUCAGGAACCUGGCUCCUGCCUGCGUGCCCCGAGCACGCUGGCCCGACCCUUACCCGACAGUCCCCAGGCUCAAAGAGCCAUUUUACAUCUGCAGGGCACCCAGGGCAGGGCCAAUGUGAGACCACACUGUCCAUCCUUCUGCACCCUGGCUCUAUCACAAGGGACAGACAGAAAAGCGUUGGGUGGGCCAAGACAAGGGCCUGAGGUUGGACAGGCUGACUGGGUGGCCCCCAGAGGAAACAGUAUCUAGCAGAGUCCUGGGGGCUGGAGACUUGAGAUCUAGAAGACAAUUCUGGUUGUGCUUAACUCAAGGGCAGAGGGACAGUCCUGCCCAGCUAGGCAGUGGCAUCUUUUCUUCCACAGGACCAGGGCACCCAAGCUGGCCCAGACACUGGAGGACACGUGGGGGGCCCACAGUGUUGGGCAGAGGCAUGGACAGGUGUCCAGAGAGGCAGCGAGAAUGGGCAGAGACCCCACACCUGUAUGGUUGCAAAAUCUCAUGGGGGAGACCUUGUGGUUCAGGGUGCUUUGCUCCACAUCUGAAGAACUGACAGCUCCCUCCCAUGGGCGUGAACCUUCUCCUACCCACAUGUCCACUCAACACCAGGUUUUCCUAUGGCUGCCAACACAGGAAAACUAGGAAAGGGGUCCAUACAAAACAAGAAAAGAGAUGUCUUUGCUUUCACAG
ensembl:lncRNA